rnacentral:rRNA from 1 species
UUCCGGUUGAUCCUGCCGGACCUGACUGCUAUCGGAUUGAUACUAAGCCAUGCGAGUCAUUGUAGCAAUACAAGGCAGACGGCUCAGUAACGCGUAGUCAACCUAACCUAUGGACAGGAAUAACCUCGGGAAACUGAGAAUAAUGCCCGAUAGAACACUAUGCCUGGAAUGGUUUGUGUUCCAAAUGAUUUAUCGCCGUAGGAUGGGACUGCGGCCUAUCAGUUUGUUGGUGAGGUAAUGGCCCACCAAGACUAUUACAGGUACGGGCUCUGAGAGGAGUAGCCCGGAGAUGGGUACUGAGACACGGACCCAGGCCCUAUGGGGCGCAGCAGGCGAGAAAACUUUGCAAUGUGCGAAAGCACGACAAGGUUAAUCCGAGUGGUUUCUGCUAAAGGAACCUUUUGUCGGUCCUAGAAACACCGAUGAAUAAGGGGUGGGCAAGUUCUGGUGUCAGCCGCCGCGGUAAAACCAGCACCUCAAGUGGUCAGGAUGAUUAUUGGGCCUAAAGCAUCCGUAGCCGGCUCUGUAAGUUUUCGGUUAAAUCUGUACGCUCAACGUACAGGCUGCCGGGAAUACUGCAGAGCUAGGGAGUGGGAGAGGUAGACGGUACUCGGUAGGAAGGGGUAAAAUCCUUUGAUCUAUUGAUGACCACCUGUGGCGAAGGCGGUCUACCAGAACACGUCCGACGGUGAGGGAUGAAAGCUGGGGGAGCAAACCGGAUUAGAUACCCGGGUAGUCCCAGCUGUAAACUAUGCAAACUCAGUGAUGCAUUGACUUGUGGUCAAUGCAGUGCUGCAGGGAAGCCGUUAAGUUUGCCGCCUGGGAAGUACGUACGCAAGUAUGAAACUUAAAGGAAUUGGCGGGGGAGCACCACAAGGGGUGAAGCCUGCGGUUCAAUUGGAUUCAACGCCGG